GGUCAGGGUGAACGCUAGCUACAGGCUUAACACAUGCAAGUCGAGGGGCAGCAUAUCGGUAGCUUGCUACUGAUGAUGGCGACCGGCGCACGGGUGAGUAACGCGUAUCCAACCUUCCCCUUAGUAGGGCAUAGCCCGGCGAAAGUCGGAUUAAUACCCUAUGUUAUCCAGCGAUGGCAUCUGAAUUGGAUUAAAGGUUUACCGCUAAGGGAUGGGGAUGCGUCUGAUUAGGUUGUUGGCGGGUAACGGCCCACCAAGCCAUCGAUCAGUAGGGGUUCUGAGAGGAAGGUCCCCCACAUUGGAACUGAGACACGGUCCAAACUCCUACGGGAGGCAGCAGUGAGGAAUAUUGGUCAAUGGACGGAAGUCUGAACCAGCCAAGUAGGCCGUGCAGGAUGACGGCCCUAUGGGUUGUAAACUGCUUUUAUAUGGGGAUAAAGUGAGGGACGUGUCCCUUUUUGUAGGUACCAUAUGAAUAAGGACCGGCUAAUUCCGUGCCAGCCGCCGC
rnacentral:rRNA from 1 species